GGGAGGGAAGUGUUUUAGCACACAGCGCCUUGGCUGCUGUAGAGAUAAGAUGUCUUGUCCCCUCCUU
rnacentral:tRNA from 1 species